CGGGGACAUUGUACGUGUUGUGUUCUUGGCAAGACACUUAACUCUCACAGUGCCUCUCUUCACCCAGGAUUUGUCUCAGCCACGUCUGGGAUGAGCUGAUCAAUCUGUGCCAUGCUAUGCUCAUUGGAAGUUGCAGUUCUACUGCAGCAAAAUCUUGCAGAAUGUUUACCCUCCAAAUGACACUGUCUUAUUAACACUCUGUAUGAUGUGCUCUCAACUGAAAAGGCAAAUUCAAACAGAAAAAAAAGACCUUUCUCUCGCUGAUAUUGAGCGAAGAGUCCUCUGAGUCACGUUUCUUCAAGGCGUUCGAUUCUUUGC